ACACGUGAUCUGCAGCCACCCGGCCGGCGACCCUCCCCUCAGCCGCCCGACUGCAGCGCUCCGGCACCCUGCCCACGGUCCCGGCACUCACCACAGGCAUGGCCAUUGGGGAGCCUGAAGCAGCCUGAGGCAGUGGCGGCGUCACUACUUCCUCACGUGUCCGGCUCCCUCUGCUGUAGGAGGACCAAAUAUUAAGGAAGAUAGUGAAACCCGCCAAACAUACGGAAUUCUUUCUCCGCCCAUUCUCUCCCGGAAGUAUUUCGGCGCGGAGACAAGCAAAAAGAACUAAGAUCCAACAGGGGGAACCUCUUUGCUUUCAGAGGCGGGACCAAGGCUAGCUGAAGACCAAUGAGAAACCGAGGAAAGACAUACAGGACCUGUAGCCUAUAGGAAAAAUGGGUGGAACUUGAAGCGCGCGCAAUCAUACUGCGCAUGACUGGCAAAGAAAGUUUUAGAGUUCUGGAACAAUCUGGAAGAAUCGAUCCUCGUAUUGAACCCCAACAUCUCCGUAGUACUCCUAUGAUAACUCACUAUUUGAAUUUGCACUAUCCAGUGGAAAAGGCUCAUCCGGUUCUCCCAUUCUUAUAGACCUAAAAUGAAGAUUAGUCGACUGCGCCAUUCACCACCUUCCACAGCCGAUUCGCUAACAGUUAAAAUAUAUUGACUGGUGACAACGAGCAAGUUCUAACUGCCGCUUUUCUCUGACUACCUUCUCCGCUCCGAACUCCUCUCCAACGGCUCUUCUGGACGUGUCUCCUACUUAAAGCCGCAGUACUCUUACGUGAUGUGGAUCGUUACUUGUAUGCUAAUGAGUCUCAACGACACAUCUCGAGCCCCCACCUCCGUCCACUCUGAGCUCCGAUUCCACAUAUGGCUAUGAACACCACAAGACACUACAGGCUUCUCAAACUUGUAGAGUCCAGAAUUUAAACUCAUUAUUUCCUCUGUACUAACAAUCUUAUGUAUUUUUUCUGUCAUUUAUGCUUGUAUUCUUGGGAUAUUUUUGAUUCCCCCUCUCCCCUGCUC